GCUAGGUGGUAGAGCACUUGACUUUUAAUCAAGUUGUCCGGGGUUCGAAUCCCCG
rnacentral:tRNA from 1 species